rnacentral:rRNA from 1 species
CACCGCCGCGGUAAUACGGAGGGGGCUAGCGUUGUUCGGAAUUACUGGGCGUAAAGCGCACGUAGGCGGCUUGGUAAGUUAGAGGUGAAAGCCCGGAGCUCAACUCCGGAAUUGCCUUUAAGACUGCCGAGCUAGCAGGUGAGAGAGGUAAGUGGAAUUCCGAGUGUAGAGGUGAAAUUCGUAGAUAUUCGGAAGAACACCAGUGGCGAAGGCGGCUUACUGGCUCAUACUGGACGCUGAGGUGCGAAAGCGUGGGGAGCAAACAGGAUUAGAUACCCCUGUAGUCCCUGUCUCUUAUACA